rnacentral:lncRNA from 1 species
UUCAAGGUCUGUGGACAGAAAGCUCUGUGUGUGUGUGUGUGUGUGUGUGUGUGUGUGUGUGUGUGUGUGUGUGUGUGUGUGUGUGUGUUUUGAGAGGAGUCUUCAAGAGUGUUUACCACUGCUAAGCCUUAUUCUGUAAAGCCAACGAAAGCACCAGCUGGCCACGUUUACAAAUGGAAGGCACAGGAAAGCUGGAGAUGACUCAGAUAUGUUCUUUGUCUCCCCCUCCCUCAAGGAAACUGAAAAACAGAGUAGCAGCACAGACUGCGCGAGAUAGAAAGAAAGCCCGGAUGAGCGAGCUGGAGCAGCAAGUGGUGGAUUUGGAAGAAGAGAACCAGAAACUCCAGCUAGAAAAUCAGCUUUUACGAGAGAAAACUCAUGGGCUUGUGAUUGAGAACCAGGAGUUAAGGACACGCUUGGGGAUGAAUGCCCUGGUUACUGAAGAGGUCUCAGAGGCAGAGUCCAAGGUGAAUCUUGUGAUUUACCAGAUUCGUGUUCUUGGCCUCCCACCAAAUCUGUCCUCUUUGCCUCUUUGAGACAAGGUCUUAAUGUCUAAUUUUGGCUGGUCUUGAACUUGUGUCGUGUCUUCUGCUUCUGAAGUCGUGGGACUACAGGCCCCAUGCUUAACUGACCAAACCUGAAAUUUUCCGUUUCCUUGAACUGAACUUCUUCUUGCCUUAGUUUCCCAAGGGCUGGGAUUACAGGUAUGAGCAAGUGGCUUGCUUGUUGGCCUUUUUUUGGGGACAGGGUCUCAUGCAGUCCAGAUUGGCCUCAAACUUGCUGAUAACCCUCCCAUCUCCACCUUCCCAAAGUUUCCACUACAGGCAGAUG